rnacentral:SRP_RNA from 1 species
CUGCGAUAGGCGGGGAGUUAGCGGUGCCCUGUAACUUGCAAUCCGCUAUAGCAAGGUCGAACACCUUUUUAGGUUUAUUUUAUGGAAUACAGCGUAACGCAAGUAACGUUGAUUGUAAGGUCUUAUGCAAUUGAUAACCGCGAACCGUGUCAGGAUAGGAAUAUAGCAGCACUAAACGGACCUAUCAAUGUGCCAUAAGGUAGCUUUACAGGAGUUAACUACGUUAAGUGCGGUUCGGUAAAGUUUAUCGAAACUGGCUCGCAG